GGUUGGUGUGGUUUGUCUAUUUACUCGGAGCAGUCAGGUGUUUGUGGUUGGUGUGGUUUGUCUAUUUACUCGAAGUAGUCAGGUGUUUGUGGUUGGUGUGGUUUGUCUAUUUACUCGAAGUAGUCAGGUAUUUGUGGUUGGUGUGGUUUGUCUAUUUACUCGAAGUAGUCAGGUGUUUAUGGUUGGUGUGGUUUGUUUAUUUACCGGAGGAGUAGUAGGUGUUAUGGUUGGUGUGGUUUGUCUAUUUACUCGAAGUAGUCAGGUAUUUGUGGUUGGUGUGGUUUGUCUAUUUACUCAGAGUAGUCAGGUGUUUGUGGUUGGUGUGGUUUGUCUAUUUACUCGAAGUAGUCAGGUAUUUGUGGUUGGUGUGGUUUGUCUAUUUACUCGGAGUAGUCAGUUUUGUGU
rnacentral:lncRNA from 1 species